AGAUGUACACUGAAUAUGAAAGCUAGCCUUGAGAAGGAGGUAGAUGCUACUGGUUAGAUGGCAUUUUGUUAAGCUGCUUGUCAAGAACCUCACCACAGCAGAAGACAUGGAUGCAGGGAGUUCACCAGUCCAGAGACUGAAGCUCUUCUGAGGUGGGAAAAUGAGAAGUGUUUAACGGAACUCUGGCAGAUGCAACCUACUGCAUGUCUACCUCUCACAGGAAAAGGGUUGUGAUGGCCUUAGACAUGGAAGUACAAAGUUUAAACUGUUAUGGCAUAGUACUCAAUUCACUGGUAGCUGCCAUCUAUUCCUAAAGAUCUGAAUGAAGUAUUUCACCUUUGAGCACCUUUAAAUAUCAUUAAACAUCAUUGCUGCUCUUUUUGUAGACACAAAUGUCUGUUACCUCUGAGAUUGUUAUGGACCAAGUUCUUUUCUCCCUGCCCUUGCUGACAUGCUAGUGAAGAGCAAGUUAGCAAAGAUUGGGUCUAAUUAGUACUGUGCCCUCUGUUUUAACUGAGUGCAUGCUUAUGAGUUUAAACAGGAAAAAUCACUCAUAGAAAGCAGCAGAACUUUGUAAACUUCAGAUGGCUUAGUUCUGAAGACUUCCUCUGAGCACUUAGGAAAAUCAGAAGUUCAGUGCUGAUCUCAUGCCUCCAUAUCGGAGCCCUUGGAUCCCUGUCUUCCUACUGGUUAGGAUUUGAAGAAUCUCACCUUGUUGCUCGUAUGUCUUAGUCUCCAGAUUUCUGAGGUCCUCAGAGCUGAUCUUGGCACAUCUGUGACUGUUUAUUUAGAGGAUUAGACUAAGAAUGCUACAUGUUGGUCUUUCAUAAAACCCUUAACUCGAGCUGUAAACAGUCAUUUAGGAGAUUAAAUUGAAAUGGCAGCUGGAGAAGGAUUGUGGGCUCUUUAGAGGUGCUCUAAAAGUGGGAGCCAGAGCUCUUAGGGAACUGAAGAAAUCUUAUUUGUAAACAGUAGUUUAGGGCAGGCAAAAUGUCUGAGUACACCAUUUGUAACCUUUCUGACACCAGAGCCAUCUGACCCUGGCCUAAAUGGAGUAAGUGAGCUGAUGGUGGGCUUGGCUGUGGCUUGUACUGCUUCAGCCCUUACAGCUGUUCCUCCUAAACUCUCCUGUACUUCAGGCUGCAAAU
ensembl:lncRNA